rnacentral:rRNA from 1 species
UACGUAGGUGGCAAGCGUUGUCCGGAUUUACUGGGCGUAAAGCGUGCGUAGACGGUUAUGUAAGUCAGGUGUGAAAGCCCCGGGCUCAACCUGGGAAUGGCAUUUGAGACUGCAUAGCUAGGGUGCGGAAGAGGGAAGCGGAAUUUCCGGUGUAGCGGUGGAAUGCGCAGAUAUCAGGAGGAACACCGAUGGCGAAGGCAGGUCACUGGGCCGCAACUGACGCUGAGGAGCGGAAAGCCAUGGGGAGCGAACAGG